rnacentral:rRNA from 1 species
GCGGAUAGAUCAUAAAUGCUGGAAUGCUUUAUGAUUGAAAGGUUUCGACCGCCUUAGGAUGGAUCUGCGGCCUAUCAGGUUGUAGUGGGUGUAAUGUACCUACUAGCCUACGACGGGUACGGGUUGUGGAAGCAAGAGCCCGGAGAUGGAUUCUGAGACAUGAAUCCAGGCCCUACGGGGCGCAGCAGGCGCGAAAACUUUACAAUGCGGGAAACCGUGAUAAGGGAACACUGAGUGCUAGCAUUUAUGUUAGCUGUCCACAUGUGUAAAUAGCAUGUGAUAGCAAGGGCUGGGCAAGACCGGUGCCAGCCGCCGCGGUAACACCGGCAGCCCGAGUGGUGAUCACUAUUAUUGGGUCUAAAGGGUCCAUAGCCGGUUUAAUCAGUCUUCUGGGAAAUCUAAUCGCUUAACUAUUAGGCUUCCAGGGGAUACUGUUAGACUUGGGACCGGGAGAGGUAAGAGGUACUGCAGGGGUAGGAGUGAAAUCUUGUAAUCCCUGUGAGACCACCAGUGGCGAAGGCGUCUUACCAGAACGGGUCCGACGGUGAGGGACGAAAGCUGGGGGCACGAACCGGAUUAGAUACCCGGGUAGUCCCAGCUGUAAACGAUGCUCGUUAC